AAUAAAAUGGCUGAGUAUUUAAGCGAUAAAUUGUAAAUUUAUUAACGAGGAAUAAAUCUCUUUUAUUA
rnacentral:tRNA from 1 species